rnacentral:rRNA from 1 species
UACGUAGGGCGCAAGCGUUGUCCGGAAUUAUUGGGCGUAAAGAGCUCGUAGGCGGUUUGUCGCGUCUGCUGUGAAAACCUAAGGCUCAACCUUGGGCUUGCAGUGGGUACGGGCAGACUAGAGUGCGGUAGGGGUGACUGGAAUUCCUGGUGUAGCGGUGGAAUGCGCAGAUAUCAGGAGGAACACCGAGUGGCGAAGGCAGGUCACUGGGCCGCAACUGACGCUGGAGGAAGCGAAAGCAUGGGGAGCGAACAGG